UCUUCCAAGUUUUACGGUGUUCUCCAAUUUUCCACAAUUCCAAAAGAAGACUAUAUUUCAAACCCGUUGUCUGGAUUUCUCCCCGCGGAGCGGAUUCUACUCUGUGGCCAAUAAUAAAGGCCAUGCGCUGCUCUUCAGGCUUCUGCAUUACUCUGACUUCUAGAGAUGAAGCACCGCGUUCCACAAAGCAAACGGCUCAGACUGAAUACAUGUUGUACCUCUGUCAGCUCCUCGGAGUUCAGCUCAAUAAACCUUUGCCACAUGACUGUGAGAACCAUUA